AGCCAUCAUUUCAAAAAUUUUCAGAAGAAAAUUCUGACUUUGUUUAAAAAAAAGCAUGGAUUUCAUCUUUUCAAUGAUUAUCUACAGUUCUCAGAGCAGUGAAGUCCUGGAAGGCUCUGGCUCUGCUGGACAACAGUGGACAAAAUCAUCCAAGAGACUCUGUGCAUGUAUACAUUUGGUACCAAGAACCUGUUGAGAUGGUCACAGUCACAAAGCAGUUCUGACCAUUUAUACAAAGAAGAAGUAGUUGAGAGCUACCUAUAUAUCAUCACGGAUACCUGAGUGAGCAGCGAGAGACAGUAUGCUUUACAGAAUAAGCUGUAUAUCAGAUCUCUGAAUAGAGAUCACUUGCUUAAAUAAAAAUCUGAGAGACAACCCCUUCUCCUGCCUGAAGCCUGACCUUUCUCCUUGUAUUAGGGAUUUCAUUCGUUCUUAAGGACUUGGCUUCUGCAAGUGUUUCCCUGUCCCUCCUGCACUAUCAGCUUUUUCCUGUCUUCUGGAUCAUUCCCAUAACCACACAAAUGCCCUAUACCAGCUUUAAAAUCUCCUAUAAAAAUACUCCCCCUGGGCCUUCCACUAUUUCCCUUCCAUUCUCUCCUGAAUCAACUCCCAAGCAGGCUUUCCUUCCCAGGGCACAACCCCAGUGAAAGCAAUCUGGUUAAAUGGAGCAGUGAUAUGCAUUAUAACACAUCCAAUGUUCAGUUAAUGGUCUUCAUCUUACUGGACCUCCCAGCUGCAUUUACACAAUAGAUUACUCUCUCCUCCUUGCAACAUUAUCUUCACUCACCUCCUAAUAUAGUACUCCCUCCUAGCUUUCUUAGCCCUUCUCUGGCUGGUCUUGAUGAGUCUUCUCUCCCUUCGCCUUUUCUCUUCCUUUUCUUUACUAUGUCUCAGGCUCUUUCAUCUACAUACACUUCCUGGAAGCCUUACAAAGUCCUAGGGCUUUAAACAACAUCAUAUGCCAAUGACAUCCAAAU
rnacentral:lncRNA from 1 species